rfam:Cryptococcus neoformans var. neoformans JEC21 chromosome 7 sequence.
GUCCCUAUAGUCUAGUGGUUAUGACGUCACAUUGUGGCUGUGGAGGCGCCUGUUCGAUUCAGGCUAGGGACA